rnacentral:rRNA from 1 species
AAAUGAAUAGACGGGGACCCGCACAAGCAGCGGAGCAUGUGGUUUAAUUCGACGCAACGCGAAGAACCUUACCAAGACUUGACAUCGAGUGCAAGCUGUGGAAACACAGUCCUCCUUCGGGACACGAAGACAGGUGGUGCAUGGUUGUCGUCAGCUCGUGUCGUGAGAUGUUCGGUUAAGUCCGGCAACGAGCGCAACCCUUACAGUAUGUUGCCACCAUUUAGUUGGGCUACUCAUACUGGACUGCCGCGGAUAACGCGGAGGAAGGCGGGGAUGAUGUCAAAUCAUCAUGCCCCUUACGUCUUGGGCUACACACGUGCUACAAUGGGCGCUACAAAGAGCCGCAAGCUGGUAACAGCAAGCAAAUCUCAAAAAAGCGUUCUCAGUUCAGAUUGAGGGCUGCAACCCGCCCUCAUGAAGCAGGAGUUGCUAGUAAUCCCGAAUCAGCACGUCGGGGUGAAUGCGUUCCCGGGUCUUGUACACACCGCCCGU